rnacentral:rRNA from 1 species
AGCGGUAGCACACGCAGAGCUUGCUCUGCGGGUGACGAGCGGCGGACGGGUGAGUAAUGUCUGGGAAACUGCCUGAUGGAGGGGGAUAACUACUGGAAACGGUAGCUAAUACCGCAUAACGUCGCAAGACCAAAGUGGGGGACCUUCGGGCCUCAUGCCAUCAGAUGUGCCCAGAUGGGAUUAGCUAGUAGGUGGGGUAACGGCUCACCUAGGCGACGAUCCCUAGCUGGUCUGAGAGGAUGACCAGCCACACUGGAACUGAGACACGGUCCAGACUCCUACGGGAGGCAGCAGUGGGGAAUAUUGCACAAUGGGCGCAAGCCUGAUGCAGCCAUGCCGCGUGUGUGAAGAAGGCCUUCGGGUUGUAAAGCACUUUCAGCGGGGAGGAAGGCGAUAAGGUUAAUAACCUUGUCGAUUGACGUUACCCGCAGAAGAAGCACCGGCUAACUCCGUGCCAGCAGCCGCGGUAAUACGGAGGGUGCAAGCGUUAAUCGGAAUUACUGGGCGUAAAGCGCACGCAGGCGGUCUGUCAAGUCGGAUGUGAAAUCCCCGGGCUCAACCUGGGAACUGCAUUCGAAACUGGCAGGCUAGAGUCUUGUAGAGGGGGGUAGAAUUCCAGGUGUAGCGGUGAAAUGCGUAGAGAUCUGGAGGAAUACCGGUGGCGAAGGCGGCCCCCUGGACAAAGACUGACGCUCAGGUGCGAAAGCGUGGGGGAGCAAACAGGAUUAGAUACCCUGGU